UUGCAACAUCGAGACGCGGUUUGUCAAAGUGUCAAUACCCGCCACUCACAACUCCCCGCUUUGCCCAACAUCCCCGUCGCCUGCACGGCGUACCCCGCAUCUCCGUUCGUUCGCUCGGGUCGAGUGAAGCGGGGUCAACUGUGGGUAACUCCUCGAUAGGGGGGAGGAGGGUGGGGUGUUGGAGGUCGGGUGGGGGGCGGCUCUGGCUCCUUGCGCCACGCGGAGUGUGCAGGAGACCCGGCGGUGGCAGCAGCAGCCAUGAUCAACCCACUGCUGGAUGAAGUCCACCCCAAGCCUCCGCCGCCCUCCUCACGAUCCUGCAGAUGUAGUCACGGCGCUCCCCUGGGUCGACUCGGCCUCAAACUGUCCCCACCACCACCCCGGCACCUCCAGCGAGCACGGCAGGCUACGUACGGCGCGAAAGAAGUUCACCAGACACACAAACGAGUGCCUGGUGCGGCGUGUAAACAUCGCCGUGGGGCUGGCCACCAACCAAGUCGUCUACCGUGCCGGUCUUCACAGGUGGAUGCAGCCCUGAGCGAUUUCCUGGCGCGGUGUUGCAGAUAUCACCAAAGGGGGAGCCACAAACCCAACGCAAACCAGACGGAGCCUUCAGCAGCCACGCUCCUGCCAUUGUCGAAUCGCCUUCUCCGGUUCAAAUUGGGGAUUUUGAGUCUGUUUCGCUCUUUUUUAAUCACGGUCUUAAAACUCACCUAUUGACUGCUGUACAUUUCCACGUGACAAGCCACUUCGUUGAGUCGCUAUCAUUUGCGAUUGCCAGGUCGCUUCUGAAAAAAAGAGCUACAGAGUUCA